GACAGAGGUGCCGAGCGUUAGGCGGAAUUACUGGGCGUAAAGCGUGCGCAGGCGGCUUUGCAAGACAGAUGUGAAAUCCCCGGGCUUAACCUGGGAACUGCAUUUGUGACUGCAAGGCUGGAGUACGGCAGAGGGGGAUGGAAUUCCGCGUGUAGCAGUGAAAUGCGUAGAUAUGCGGAGGAACACCGAUGGCGAAGGCAAUCCCCUGGGCCUGUACUGACGCUCAUGCACGAAAGCGUGGGGAGCAAACAGG
rnacentral:rRNA from 1 species